rnacentral:rRNA from 1 species
AUGAAAUUUGAAUCAAAGGAAGAGUUCAGAAAAGCAAUAAUUACUUAUGGACUGCAUCAUAGAAGGUUAAUUAGGUUUAAGAAAAAUGAUUCUGUAAGGUGCAGAGCAGAGUGUGAUUGGGGGACAUGUCCCUGGUUCUGUUUACUAAGUAGGACAAGUAGGUGCAAUAGUUGGCAGGUGAAAUCUUUCAUAGAUAAACAUUGUUGUCCAAAAAGGAAGGACAACAAGCUGGUCACUUCAGUGAGGAUUGCACAAAAAUAUGAUAAGCUCAUUAGAGGCCACCCAGGAUGGAAGAUUGACAGCUUGAAAGCACAUGUGCAAGAGGACAUGUUUGCAAAUGUGAGCACAUCACAAAUUAACAGAGCAAAACAAAUUGUGAAGCAAAGAGUGUAUGAUUCCACCAAGUUCCAAUACUCAAAAGUGUUUGAUUAUCAGUUGGAAUUGCUGAGGAGCAAUCCAGGAAGCACUGUUGUUGUCAAACUUGAUCCAAAGGAAAGAGUACCGACAUUUCUGAGAAUGUAUGUGUGCUUGGCUGCUCCGAAAGAAGGUUUCAAGGCAGGUUGUAGAAAAGUAGUAGGAAUGGAUGGAUGUUUUUUCAAAGGAGCAACAAAUGGAGAGCUGCUCUGUACUAUAGGGAGGGAUGCAAAUAACCAAAUGUAUCCAAUUGCAUGGGCAGUAGUUGAGAAGGAGAAUAAUGACUCAUGGGAUUGGUUCUGUAAUUCAUUAUUUAGAGAUUUGGAAGUGGAAGAUGGUCAAGGCUGGGUGUUCAUAUCUGACCAGCAGAAAGGAAUUAUAACAGCAGUUCAAAACUGGGCACCAUUGGUUGAGCAUAGGAAUUGUGACUUUCAAACCACCUCAGAGCAAGGUCACUGCUACCUCAAAGGCCACUGU